rnacentral:miRNA from 1 species
AAAUAUCAGCAGGUAAUUCU